GUAUUCCUUUUUUUAGAAU
rnacentral:tRNA from 1 species